rnacentral:rRNA from 1 species
GAUGAACGCUAGCGGCAGGCUUAAUACAUGCAAGUCGAGGGGCAGCACGAAUAGCAAUAUUUGGUGGCGACCGGCAAACGGGUGCGGAACACGUACGCAACCUUCCUUUAAGUGGGGAAUAGCCCGGGGAAACCCGGAUUAAUACCCCGUAAUAUUAUGAUGUGGCAUCACUUUAUAAUUAUAGAUUCAUCGCUUAAAGAUGGGCGUGCGCCUGAUUAGGUAGUUGGCGGGGUAACGGCCCACCAAGCCUUCGAUCAGUAACUGGUGUGAGAGCACGACCAGUCACACGGGCACUGAGACACGGGCCCGACUCCUACGGGAGGCAGCAGUAAGGAAUAUUGGUCAAUGGACGCAAGUCUGAACCAGCCAUGCCGCGUGGAGGAUGAAGGUCCUCUGGGUU